rnacentral:rRNA from 1 species
UGAGGAAUAUUGGUCAAUGGGCGAGAGCCUGAACCAGCCAAAUCGCGUGAAGGAAGACUGCCUUAUGGGUUGUAAACUUCUUUUAUACAGGAAUAAAAAAGGGGACGUGUCCCUUAUUGCAUGUACUGUAUGAAUAAGCAUCGGCUAACUCCGUGCCAGCAGCCGCGGUAAUACGGAGGAUGCGAGCGUUAUCCGGAUUUAUUGGGUUUAAAGGGUGCGCAGGCGGGCUUUUAAGUCAGCGGUGAAAUCUCGGGGCUUAACUCCGAAACUGCCGUUGAAACUGGGAGUCUUGAGUAUGGAUGAAGUAGGCGGAAUUCGUUGUGUAGCGGUGACAUGCUUAGAUAUAACGAGGAACUCCGAUUGCGUAGGCAGCUUACUAAGCCAUAACUGACGCUCAAGCACGAAAGCGUGGGGAUCAAACAGGAUUAGAUACCCUGGUAGUCCACGCCGUAAACGAUGAUUACUAGUUGUAUGCGAUAUACCGUAUGUGACUAAGCGAAAGCGAUAAGUAAUCCACCUGGGGAGUACGCCGGCAACGGUGAAACUUAAAUGAAUUGACGGGGUCAUAGCUGUUUCCUG